CAAGGCUAGAUUUCCAAACAAA
rnacentral:miRNA from 2 species